AACUUUCGGCAAUGGAUCACUUGGCUCUCGCAUCGAUGAAGAACGCAGCGAAAUGCGAUAAGUAAUGUGAAUUGCAGAAUUCAGUGAAUCAUCGAAUCUUUGAACGCAUCUUGCGCUCCUUGGUAUUCCGAGGAGCAUGCCUGUUUGAGUGUCAUUCAACUUCUCAACCACAUUCGUUCAUUGAUUGUGGCUUGGAUGGUGGGGGUUUAUUUGCAGGCUUCUUCUGUGAAAACAGAAAGGUCGGCUCCCCUGAAAUGUAUCAGUGGUAUCUGAGGCUAUUGCUAUAGGUGUGAUAAUUAUCUAUGCCCUUGGUAUGCCGCAUGGAACUGCUUCCAACAGAGAUGAUCUUUUUGAUGAAUUUGACCUCAAAUCAGGUAGGACUACCCGCUGAACUUAAGCAUAUCAAUAAGCGGAGGCU
rnacentral:misc_RNA from 1 species